CAAGCAACAGUGCAGAGUUAAUGUUUAUAUGCCAUUCAUGUAGAUGGGAUUCUAACCAUUUUUUCCUGUGUGACUGGGCUCCGAUGAUGAUGCUGGAGGUAUAACUAAAAUCCUUGCCAUCAAGCUUCUAUCAUUUGCCAAAAAAGUCAGGCAAUGAUGGUUAUGGGUGUCAAUCUUGGCUGUUUACUCCAAUUGCUAAUCCAGCCACACCUGGUGAACAAAGGAAUUUUUGAAAGAUUAUAAUGCCUUAUCCAACACAGAAAAAGGAUCCAUCGCCCCUUCAAAACGGUCAACUUCUGAUUCUUCUCUGGCUCCUCUGAAAAUACAGCAUCAUCAUGUGGUUGGGAUUCUUCUUCCUCACAUUCUGCUUCACUUACAGGAUGACUUGCAUUGUCAACUAUGUCAAUAUUUGGGUUUGUAGGAAACACUCAAUUGCUAAAUUUAGCAUCCACUGCGCAACAAUGUUUAAUUGAUAGCUGGUCUGCAAGGUUGAAUACAAAGUAUCACAAUCACCCAAACAACUGAAGUGUGAGUCAAGUGUCCUGAUAGCCUGAACACUCGCCCUACAACUCCCACACACACCCUUAGUGUGCCACGCUUCCCACAACCAAACAAACCCACUGCAUUAAUUAUGUCAGUGCUGGACCGUUUCCUUAAAAACAUUGAAAUAAAAUUGCCCAGGUGGACGAGUGGUUGGCCUCGUGCAAACUUGCAGCAUGACCAAAUUCGCUCAAGUGAUCCUAUUAGGUAGGUAUACCCCCAAUCAGGACUGUAACCCCCUCCCUUCCAUUUUUCCAGGCGUACCUGCCUAUCUACGUUGGGAGCGGUCGGAGCUACUCUCACCACCCUCCACCUAUGCUGCCCUAUGCGUUUCGCUGACUCAUUGGCUUCUUCAGGGGCAUCAUCAUGUGAUUGGGAUUCUUCUUCCUCACAUUCUGCUUCCUCACAUUCUGCUUCACUUACAGGAUGACUUGCAUUGUCAACUAUGUCAAUAUUUGGGUUUGUAGGAAACACUCAAUAAAGCGCUUGGAUUAUUUUGUUCUAA